rnacentral:rRNA from 1 species
CUACGGGACGCACCGGUGAGGAAUAUUGCACAAUGGGGGGAACCCUGAUGCAGCAACGCCGCGUGGAGGAUGACGCAUUUCGGUGUGUAAACUCCUUUUAUAUGUCAAGAAAAUGACGGUAGCAUAUGAAUAAGCACCGGCUAACUCCGUGCCAGCAGCCGCGGUAAUACGGAGGGUGCAAGCGUUACUCGGAAUCACUGGGCGUAAAGGACGCGUAGGCGGGUUGGAAAGUCAGGUGUGAAAUCCUACAGCUUAACUGUAGAACUGCACUUGAAACUUCUAAUCUAGAGUAUGGGAGGGGGAGAUGGAAUUAGUGGUGUAGGGGUAAAAUCCGUAGAUAUUACUAGGAAUACCUAAAGCGAAGGCGAUCUCCUGGAACAUUACUGACGCUAAGGCGUGAAAGCGUGGGGAGCAAACAGGAUUAGAUACCCCUGUAGUC